rnacentral:rRNA from 1 species
ACGCUGGCGGCGUGCUUAACACAUGCAAGUCGAACGAGAGAUGAAGAGCUUGCUCUUCAGAUCGAGUGGCGAACGGGUGAGUAACGCGUGAGGAACCUGCCUCAAAGAGGGGGACAACAGUUGGAAACGACUGCUAAUACCGCAUAAGCCCACGGCUCGGCAUCGAGCAGAGGGAAAAGGAGUGAUCCGCUUUGAGAUGGCCUCGCGUCCGAUUAGCUGGUUGGUGAGGUUAACGGCCCACCAAGGCGACGAUCGGUAGCCGGACUGAGAGGUUGAACGGCCACAUUGGGACUGAGACACGGCCCAGACUCCUACGGGAGGCAGCAGUGGGGAAUAUUGCACAAUGGGGGAAACCCUGAUGCAGCGACGCCGCGUGGAGGAAGAAGGUCUUCGGAUUGUAAACUCCUGUUGUUGAGGAAGAUAAUGACGGUACUCAACAAGGAAGUGACGGCUAACUACGUG